GUCCUAUUGUAUUCUUUAAUAGGUCUGGCCUGCCCAGUGAUAAUUUUAACGGCCGCGGUAUAUUGACCGUGCAAAGGUAGCAUAAUCAUUAGUCUUUUAAUAGAAGGCUGGAAUGAAAGGUUUAACGAGAAAUUAACUGUCUCAAUUACAUACUUGAAUUUAUCUUUUGAGUCAAAAGACUUAAAUAUAAUUGGUGGACGAGAAGACCCUAUAGAGCUUUACAAUUUUAUUUCUAUAUUUAUAUAGUAAUAUUAUUUAUUUAUAUUUAUAAAAUUGUUUUGUUGGGGUGACAAUAAAUAUAUAUUUAACUUUUAUCAUAAUAUAAACAUUAAUUUAUGAUUUUUGGAUCCAAAAAUUUUGAUCAAUAGAUUAAGUUACCUUAGGGAUAACAGCGUAAUCUUCCCUCAGAGUUCAUAUUUACGGGAAGGGUUGCGACCUCGAUGUUGGAUUAAGAUAAUAAUUAGGUGCAGUAGCUUAAUUAAUAGGUCUGUUCGACCUUUAAAUUCUU
rnacentral:rRNA from 1 species